GACGAACGCUGGCGGCGUGCUCAACACAUGCAAGUCGAACGGAAAGGCCCUGCUUUUGUGGGGUGCUCGAGUGGCGAACGGGUGAGUAACACGUGAGUAACCUGCCCUUGACUUUGGGAUAACUUCAGGAAACUGGGGCUAAUACCGGAUAGGAGCUCCUGCUGCAUGGUGGGGGUUGGAAAGUUUCGGCGGUUGGGGAUGGACUCGCGGCUUAUCAGCUUGUUGGUGGGGUAGUGGCUUACCAAGGCUUUGACGGGUAGCCGGCCUGAGAGGGUGACCGGCCACAUUGGGACUGAGAUACGGCCCAGACUCCUACGGGAGGCAGCAGUGGGGAAUAUUGCACAAUGGGCGGAAGCCUGAUGCAGCAACGCCGCGUGCGGGAUGACGGCCUUCGGGUUGUAAACCGCUUUCGCCUGUGACGAAGCGUGAGUGACGGUAAUGGGUAAAGAAGCACCGGCUAGCUACGUG
rnacentral:rRNA from 1 species